rnacentral:rRNA from 1 species
ACGAACGCUGGCGGCGUGCCUAAUACAUGCAAGUCGAGCGGACAGAUAAGGAGCUUGCUCCUUAGAAGUUAGCGGCGGACGGGUGAGUAACACGUAGGCAACCUACCUGUAAGAUUGGGAUAACUCCGGGAAACCGGGGCUAAUACCGAAUAAUAAUGAGGCUCUCAUGAGCCUGAUUUGAAAGAUGGCUUCGGCUAUCACUUACAGAUGGGCCUGCGGCGCAUUAGCUAGUUGGUGAGGUAACGGCUCACCAAGGCGACGAUGCGUAGCCGACCUGAGAGGGUGAUCGGCCACACUGGGACUGAGACACGGCCCAGACUCCUACGGGAGGCAGCAGUAGGGAAUCUUCGGCAAUGGACGAAAGUCUGACCGAGCAACGCCGCGUGAGUGAUGAAGGUUUCGGAUCGUAAAGCUCUGUUGUUAGGGAAGAACAAGUACCGUUCGAAUAGGGCGGUACCUUGACGGUACCUAACCAGAAAGCCACGGCUAACUACGUGCCAGCAGCCGCGGUAAUACGUAGGUGGCAAGCGUUGUCCGGAAUUAUUGGGCGUAAAGCGCGCGCAGGCGGUCUCUUAAGUCUGAUGUGAAAGCCCACGGCUCAACCGUGGAGGGUCAUUGGAAACUGGGGGACUUGAGUACAGAAGAGGAGAGUGGAAUUCCACGUGUAGCGGUGAAAUGCGUAGAUAUGUGGAGGAACACCAGUGGCGAAGGCGGCUCUCUGGUCUGUAACUGACGCUGAGGCGCGAAAGCGUGGGGAGCAACAGGAUUAGAUACCCUGGUAGUCCACGCCGUAAACGAUGAGUGCUAGGUGUUGGGGGGUACCACCCUCAGUGCUGACGCUAACGCAUUAAGCACUCCGCCUGGGGAGUACGACCGCAAGGUUGAAACUCAAAGGAAUUGACGGGGGCCCGCACAAGCAGUGGAGCAUGUGGUUUAAUUCGAAGCAACGCGAAGAACCUUACCAGGUCUUGACAUCCUCUGCCACUCCUAGAGAUAGGACGUUCCCCUUCGGGGGACAGAGUGACAGGUGGUGCAUGGUUGUCGUCAGCUCGUGUCGUGAGAUGUUGGGUUAAGUCCCGCAACGAGCGCAACCCUUGAUCUUAGUUGCCAGCAUUCAGUUGGGCACUCUAAGGUGACUGCCGGUGACAAACCGGAGGAAGGUGGGGAUGACGUCAAAUCAUCAUGCCCCUUAUGACCUGGGCUACACACGUGCUACAAUGGAUGGUACAAAGGGUAGCGAAGCCGCGAGGUGGAGCCAAUCCCAUAAAGCCAUUCUCAGUUCGGAUUGUAGGCUGCAACUCGCCUACAUGAAGCCGGAAUUGCUAGUAAUCGCGGAUCAGCAUGCCGCGGUGAAUACGUUCCCGGGCCUUGUACACACCGCCCGUCACACCACGAGAGUUUGUAACACCCGAAGUCGGUGAGGUAACCUUUUGGAGCCAGCCGCCGAAGGUGGGACAGAUGAUUGGGGUG